CUCUUAGAGACAGAUUGAAGUAAUUACUACCAAAUGUUAACAGUAUUUUUACUUUGUCCUCUUUAGAGACAGAUUGAAGUAAUUACUACCAAAUGUUAACAGUAUUUUUACUUUGCCCUCUUUAGAGACAGAUUGAAGUAAUUACUACCAAAUGUUAACAGUAUUUUUACUUUGCCCUCUUUAGAGACAGAUUGAAGUAAUUACUACCAAAUGAAGCUAAUAACUAAGAACUUUUAAUAUCAUUGAAUGUAAGCAAUUUUAACCAGGUGCUCCACAGGGCGCAGCUUUAUACGACCGCAGAGGUCGAACCCUGAACAGUUGGGGCAAGUAUGGACAAAACAUUCAAGCGUGAUACAGCUCUGAAUUUGGAUUGUGAUAAAAUUUUUGACAUUACAUGUUUUUUUUUUACACAAAACAAAUGUCAAGAUUUUACAAAUCAAUUAAAGAUUUCUUCAAACUUUUUAAAUCUAAAAUUAAAUAGUUGACACAGCAUAGGUUUCUGACACAGAAUGAAUGUGGUCUAAUGAACUUAAAAAGUUUUUUUUUGCCUUUGAG
rnacentral:lncRNA from 1 species